GAUUUGAAUUCUCAAAUGCGUGGUGUGUAAAAAAAAAAAGAGAAAAAUAGAAAUAAAUGUGGCUCUAGGGUGAAAACCCUCAAAAGGGUAGUCUAGAGCCAACCCUGAAAGGUCACUUCUGAUGCUAAGUAUGGUGGAUGCUAAACAAAAGUAAAGCCAAACCUUUUGAAAGAUCUAAAAUAUCAAAGCCAUAGAAGUCUGAGAUGGGUUGAUUAUUCCCAAAAAACCCUUUAAAAUCUUAAGCCCUUACAGCUGAUCUUAACAUAUAUCAAAAUGUCGCAUUUGGAGACUAAGAAAAAUGUUGAAUAUGUUUGAUUUUCAAGGAAUUCAUGCUUUUAGAAAAGCUUGUGUUUCAUUUGUGAGCUUGCAUGCCUCUUUCACUCCCCUCCAAGGAUUGGAACCUUUUGAAUCAACAUCGCUAUCUACAAAACUAUUACAUCCAUUUGGAAAGAAAAUCCUCACCUUUUUCAUUUUUGAUAGGGAUCGCCAAAUUCUGAAAAGGAAUAAAAUAAAAUAAAAUAAAAUUUAAGCCUAGUUUAUCUGGUCUCAAAUGAAGAUUUAAGCCCAGUUUAUUUGGCCAUCAAUGAUAUUUAAGCCUAGUGUAUCUGGCCAUUAAUGAAGCUUUAAGCCCAGUUUAUCUGGCUCUCAAUGAAACUUUAAGCCCAGUUUAUUUGGCCAUUAAUGAAGCUUUAAGCCCAGUUCAUCUGGCCAUCAAUGAGGUUUUAAACCUAGUUUAUCUGGCUUCAAAUGAAGAUUUAAGCCCAGUUUAGCUAGCCUUCAAUAAAUUUAAGCCAAGUUUAUUUAGCCCCAAAAGAAGUUUUAGAGUUUCAAAGUUCUAUCCAUAAUAAAAUUUCUCGAUACAUAACCUUUUGAAAGAUCUUGCAUUUGCAUUACUUGUAUCAUAAGAAAGACAUUUAACCUAAAAAAAAAGAGAUAUUCAAAUUUGCAUCGCUUAUCUGUGCAUCAUGAAAGGGAUAUUUGCAUUUGCAUCACUUACAUCUGUACUACAAGAAAGACAUUUGCAUUUGCAUCACUUGCAUUUGCACUUGCACAAGAUAUUUGCAUUCGCACCAUAAAAAAAAAUUUCAUAUUUGCAAAACUAUGGCAUCCGCAUCCUAAGAAAAGGUAUUUAUAGAAGCAUUUACAUGAAAAGAACAUUGUCAUUGUCAAAUAUAGUUGCAUCAAGCAUUCACAUCCUUGCAUUUGCAUUGAAAUUUAUAUUUUUAUCAACAUUUCCAUUAGCAUCAUUUGAUCAAGAUGGACAUUUGUAUCAUUGAUUGCAUUCAUUAAAUCUGAUUGAAAAAGAAAAAACAUUUUCAAAAAAAAAUUUCAAAUUUUAAAGUUUCAUCACCUCUGAUUAUGAGGAGCAUUUAAAGAUUUUGAGAUUUGUAAGACCUCUGGGCAUAAUCUCUAAAAGCCUCUGGGCAUGACUUUCAAGAUUAAAAGAUUUUCAAAUUUUACAAUUUCAUCACUUCUGAUUAUAAGGAGCAUUCAAAGAUUUUGAGAUUUGUAAGACCUCUAGGCAUAAUUUUGAUUUGCGGUGUUGUCUCGAUCGAUUUUUUAUUUCUGACUUGCAAUGUUACCCGAGUCAAUUCUGUAAGACCUUCGGGCAUGAUUCUGUAAGACAUUCGAGCACGAUUUCUAAGACCUCCGGGCAUAAUUUCGAUUCACGAUAUUAUCCCGAUCAAUUCCUUAUCUUUCGACUUACGAUUUUAUUCCAGUCGAUUCUAUAAGACCUCCGGGCAUGAUUCUAUAAGACCUCCAGGUAUGAUUCUUAAGACCUCCGAGCGUAAUUUUGAUUCACGGUGUUAUCCCGAUCGAUUCCUUAUCUUUUGACUUACGAUGUUAUCCCAGUCGAUUUUGUAAGACCUUCAGACAUAAUUUCGAUUCGCGGUGUUAUCCCGAUCGAUUCUUUAUCUUUUGACUGCGAUGUUAUCCCAAUCUAUUCUGUAAGACCUCCGGGCAUAAUUUCGAUUGACGUGUGUUAUCUCGAUUGAUUUAUUAUUUUUUUAAACUUGCGGUGUCAUCCUAAUUGUUUUGUUUAAAAAAAAAAUUCAUGAUCCAUUUUCGGACAAAAUCAUUGUCUUUGUCUUUGCCCUAUUCCUGAUUCUCAGUAAUGUGCAAAGAGGGGCAGCUGUUGACAUCAAUUUUUUCCUCAAAAAUAAAAAUAAUAAUAUUAUACGAAAUACAAAAAAAAUAACAAAAAAAUAAAAAAAAGAAAAAUAAUUGAGGAUGGCAGUGGUGCCGCCACUACCACCAGGCCCACCACCCAUCACAUACCCUGUUCAUCCUACCCUACUACCAAAAAAUACAGAAGAAAUAAAGAGGUGGGCUUGUGUUUACAUCCCAUGAUCGAGCCCCAUUCCCUUUCCUCCAAACACAUAUGGCUGGAGCUCUAUAAAUAGAGCUCAUAGCGAAGCCAAAAUGGAUAGAAAAGAAGGAGGGGAAGAUUCUGUAAAAAAAACUACAAAAAAAAACAAAAACCAUAGUCCUCCCCACUGGGAGGAACCCAGCGCCGAAGCUAACUACAAAAGCAAGAAAAUAGAUCAGUCUUGCUUCAACAAAACAAACAAAAAAAAUUGAAAACAGAAACUUUGAGCCCUGAUCUACGUUGAUCGGGGCUAUUUUUGACAAAAAAGAGGUCAGAUCUUGAAAGAGCACAUUGAAGAGCGCUUCUGGAAGUAUUUUGGCAUUUUUCGAUCACCAGCGACCGACCGCCAGCGUUGACCCAGGCGACGGCUAGAGCGGUGGCCCGACGACCGAACGAUGGAUGGCCAGACCUCUCCCUCAGCUCUCUCUCUCCUUCUUUCCCUUUUUUUUUCUGAAACAAAAACCAAAUGAACCAAAAAAAAUCUUCAGCUAUAUAUAGUAAAGCAAAAACUCAAAAUCACGUCGUUUAGGGAAAGAUCCAAAACGACACCGUUUUAACCAAAGAGGACCCGCACGUGGACUCGGAUCCGAGAUCCACGUAAACUGACCCGUCAACCCGCUUCAUCCAACUUUGAACCAAUCCAGUAAAUCGAUCUGAGCCGGUCCGAACCACUAGACUGCUCGAACCACCUAUCGAAUCACAGAACCGAUCCAGACCAGCACUGACCGGACCGUUGACCGGUCAAGUUCAAGUAAAAAUAAAUUUUUUUUAAUUUUCUAAUUUUUUUAUAUUAUUAUUUUUGUUAUUUUAAGUAUAUUUUUAUAUUUAUGCAUGAUAAAUUUCUAAAUUUGUUAGAAUAAAUGUUUAAUUGUUUUAAUAAUAAUAAAAUUGAAAACAAAUAAUAGUUAAAAAUAUAUUAAAAAUGUCCAAAAAAAAUAUUUUUUAUUAUUAUUAUUAUUUUCCCUGCCUAGAUGUUGGAGGGAAUAAAAAAUAUUUUUCUAAAAGAUAAUUCCGCCUAGAUGUUGGGGAAUUAUUAUGAAAAAUUUUCAUAAAAAAACACAAGAAAUUUUUAAUUAGUUUUGAAAAAUUAUAAAAAAUUAAACUUGCUCCGAAAGUCUGCCUAGAUGAUGGGGAUUUUUAGAGAUGUUCGCGUUUUACUUAAAUCUUAAACACUAAUUUUUAAUUUUCAAAAUCCUAAGUUUUUAAAACCCUUAAAAAUCCAAAAUCCCCUAAAAUUCAAAACCUCUUAAAAUCCAAAGUCCUAAAAAUCCUAAAGUCAAGUGGGAAAAUUCUAUUUGAAGCAAUUUGUUCCCGAAUGCUGCCUAGAUGAUGGGGUAUUUAGAAAAUUUUACUUCGUUAAGUCUUUUCACAUGAUUUCUUAGUUUGCAUCAACAAUAAGAUUAAUAAAUAAAAAGUAUAAUAGUAAAUUGGGAGCUUAAAUAUAAACAGUCGCACCUAAGCUCUGCGUAGAUGUUGGAGAGUUAGGGUGGUCUUAUUAUACUUAAGAAUCCAACUUUUAAAUUAAAUUUCAUUUUACAUAACAUUCAUUGUACUAUUCUGUCUUUAAUUUUUAUUUGUACUACUUUUUUAAAAAAUUAUGAUAUUAUAAAAUAAAAUAAAAAUAACAUUCUGAAAGAAAUAAUUCUUGGUACACUGCCUAGACGUUGGAGAGUCACUAACAUUAUUUUCUAUAAAGAUUGUUAUUUUAUUUUAUGGAUUAUUGUGUUAAAUCUUAAGUAAAAAGAGUUAUUUUAAAUUCUGCCUAGAUUUUGGAGAAUUUUAAGAUAAUUCUUUAACUUAAAGAUUUUCUCAAUAUUUCUAAAUAAAUAUUUUAGCAAAAUUUUAUUCAAGUGAAGGGUAUUAGUGUUAAAUUUCAAAUUAAAAUCAUUUUUAUCCAACAUCGAAAAUAACGCGUAAUUAAAUGGUACCAAUUUAUGGGCGUUGUGGUGGUGCUAAUCCUUUCCCAUACGUAACCGACUCUCGGACCCAACCUUGUUUUUCGUAGACCAAAAUUAUCUUUUUGAUAAACUUUAAAUCCGUUUUAUAGUUUUAUUAAAAAGAUAAACUUUUGGGUGGCCAAUCACACCCUAACAAAGAUUGGUGGCGACUCCACUUUUUAUUUAUUUUUCUCUAUUUUAAAACAUCACUUUUAGGUCUGGCGAUCCCAAAACUGUUACAACAAUGUGUGAUGAGUGCUGGUACUUGCCCUUAUAUUGGCCCCCUAUCCCUCAUCAAACCUUAAGAACUCUCACCCCCUUAAAGAGCAUUUGAGAUUUUACAGGUUUGCGGCCAGUAGCCAUUAAAGUGUCUAAAAUGGGACAAUUUUUUUAAAUGGUCACAAAAUCCUGUACACUUCGAGUUUUUAGCUGAAUUUUUUUUUGCAUGCCAACAAAAAUACAAGGAUCACGUCUAAGAAGUUUGGGGCCAAAAAUCUUUCUGAAAAAAUUUUAAAAAAAUCCCGAACCAUAAAAAGUUUCAAAAAUCAUGAAAAAUAGAAAACGAGUCGUCUUGCCGUGAAACUUCACAUGAAGGCUUAAGGGACCAUUGUAUGAAUUUACAAGCCAUAAAAAUCGCAUUGGCAUGGCAGAAAUAUGAAGAUGUGCCUAAACCCACCCACCACCCUAUUGAUCCACGGCUUUCGCAUCCCGUCUCUCUGGCCGGCGUAAUGCCCGCCCGUCGGCUCGUUUCGUCGGUUGGCAUAGGCAUACGAAGUUCAUUCCCAGUCUAAGAUCGGACCAGAUUGAGGGUUGCGGCAGCAAAAUCGACAGUAUGCAGAGGGGGACUCGGCCGAUCCCUGGCUUGCGCAUCCUGCCCCUCUGGCAGGCUAAGCACCCGCAUGCUCGUUUCGUGGGUAGACUUAGGCAUACGGAGUUCAUUCCCAGUCUAAGCAUACGGAGUUCAUUCCAAGUGUAAGAUCGGACUGGACUGAGGCUUGUGGGUGCACAUGCUGGGCUUGGGCAUGUGCUGGUGCCGCAUUUUUUUCGCUCGGGGCGCCAUAGCCGGAGCAUCGCCGGAGAACCUAACCGGCGGCAUUGGAGGUUCCGGCGAUUUGGGGGGGCAAGGGGGGUGUAAGCACAUGAUGUGUGAUGGGUGCUGGUACAUGGCCCUUAUACUGGCCCCCUAUCCCUCAUCAAACCUCGAGAACUCACACCCCCUUAAAGAGCAUUUGAGAUUUUUACGGGUUUGCUGCCAGUAGCGAUUAAAGUGUCUGAAAUGGUGACAGUUUUUUCAAAUGGUCACAAAAUCUUGUACACUUCGAGUUUUUUCCUGAAUUUUUUUGUGCAUGCCAACAAAAAUACAAGGAUCAUGUCUACCAAGUUUGGGGCCAAAAAUCCUUCUGAAGAAAUUUUAAAAAAAUCCCAAACCGUAAAAAGUUUCAAAAAUCAUGAAAAAUAGAAAACGAGUCGUCUUGCCAUGAAACUUCACAUGAAGGCUUAAGGGACCAUUGUAUGAAUUUACAAGCCAUAAAAAAGGCAUUGGCAUGGUAGAAAUAUGAAGAUGCGCCUACACCCACCUACCACCCUAUCGAUCCACGGCUUGCGCAUCCCGCCUCUCUGGCCGACGUACUGCCCGCCCGCCCGUUCGUUUCGUCGGUUGGCUUAGGCAUACGGAGUUAUUCCCAGUCUAAAUCGAAUCAGACCGAGGGUUGUGGCAGCAGGAUCUGUAGCACACAGAGGGGGACCCGUCGAUCCCCGGCUUGUGCAUCCUGCCCCUCUGGCCGGCUGAGCGCCCGCACGCUCGUUUCGUGGGUUGACUUAGGCAUACGGAGUUCAUUCCCAGUCUAAGCAUACGGAGUUCAUUCCCAGUGUAAGAUCGGACCGGAUCGAGGGUUGCGGUGCACAUGCUGGGCUUGGCAUGUGCUGGUGCCGCAUUUUUUUUCCCGGGCACCAUCGUCGGAGCAUCCCGGAGAACCUGACCGACGGCAUUGGGGUUCCGCGAUUGGGGGGCGGGGGGUGUGCGCACAUGAUGUGCGAUGGGUGCUGGUACUUGGCCCUUAUAUUGGCCCCCUAUCCCUCAUCAAACCUCGAGAACUCACACCCCUUAAAGAGCAUUUGAGAUUUUACAGGUUUGCUGCCAGUAGCCAUUAAAGUGUCUGAAAUGGGGACACUUUUUUCAAAUGGUCACAAAAUCCUAUACACUUCGAGUUUUUAGCUGAAUUUUUUUUUGCAUGCCAACAAAAAUACAAGGAUCACGUCUACCAAGUUUGGGGCCAAAACUCCUUCUGAAAAAAUUUUAAAAAAAUCCUGAACCGUAAAAAGUUUCAAAAAUCAUGAAAAAUAGAAAAUGAGUCGUCUCACCAUGAAACUUCACAUGAAGGCUUAAGGGACCAUUGUAUGAAUUUACAAGCCAAAAAAAUGGCAUUGGCACGGUAGAAAUAUGAAGAUGUGCCUAAACCCACCUACCACCCUAUCGAUCCAUGGCUUGCGCAUCCCACCUCUUUGGCCGGCGUAGUACCCACCCGCCUGCUUGUUUCAUCGGUUGGCUUAGGCAUACGGGGUUCAUUCCCAGUCUAAGAUCGGAUCGAACCGAGGGUGUGCACACAUGAUGUGUGAUGGGUGCUGGUACUUGGCCCUUAUAUUGGCUCCCUAUCCCUCAUCAAACCUUGAGAACUCACACCCCCUUAAAGAGCAUUUGGGAUUUUACAGGUUUGCUGCCAGUAGCCAUUAAAGUGUCUAAAAUGGGAACACUUUUUUCAAAUGGUCAUAAAAUCCUGUACACUUCGAGUUUUUAGCUGAAGUUUUUUGUGCAUGCCAACAAAAAUACAAGGAUAACGUCUUCCAAGUUUGGGGCCAAAACUCCUUCUGAAAAAAAUUUCAAAAAAUCCCGAACCGUAAAAAGUUUCAAAAAUUAUGAAAAAUAGAAAACGAGUCGUCUUGCCAUGAAACUUCACAUGAAGGCUUAAGGGAUCAUUUUAUGAAUUUACAAGCCAUAAAAAUGGCAUUGGCAUGAUAGAAAUAUGAAGAUGUGCCUAAACCCACCUACGACCCUAUCGAUCCAUGGCUCGCGCAUCCCGCCUCUCUGGCUGGCGUAGUGCCCACCUGCCCGCUCAUUUCAUUGGUUGGCUUAGGCAUACAGAGUUCAUUCUCAAUCUAAGAUCGGACUGGACUGAAGCUUGCGACAGCCAGAUUGGCAGCACCUAGAGGGGGACUCGAUCGAUCCCCGUUUUGCACAUCGUGCCCCUCUGGCCGGUUGAGCGCCUGCACGCUCUUUUCAUGGGUUGACUUAGGCAUACGGAGUUCAUUCCCAGUCUAAGCAUACGGAGUUCAUUCCCAGUGUAAGAUCAGACCGGACCGAGGGUCAUGGGUGCACAUGCUGGGCUCGAGCAUGUGCUGGUGCCGUAUUUUUUUCGCCUAGGGCACCAUCAUCAGAGCAUUGCCGGAGAACCUGACUUGUGGCAUUGGGGGUUCCGGCGAUUGGGGGCGGGGGGUGUAAGCACAUGAUGUGCGAUGGGUGCUAGCACUUGGCCCUCAUAUUGGCCCCCUAUCCCUCAUCAAACCUCGAGAACUCACCCCCCUUAAAGAGCAUUUGAGAUUUUACAGGUUUACGGCCAGUAGCCAUUAAAGUGUCUGAAAUGGGACACUUUUUUCAAAUGGUCACAAAAUCUUGUACGCUUUGAGUUUUUAGCUGAAUGUUUUUGUGCAUGCCAACAAAAAUACAAGGAUUAUGUCUACCAAGUUUGGGGCCAAAAAUCCUUCUAAAAAAAUUUUAAAAAAAUCCUAAAUCGUAAAAAGUUUCAAAAAUCAUGAAAAAUAGAGAACGAGUCGUCUUGCCAUGAAACUUCACAUGAAGGCUUAAGGGACCAUUGUAUGAAUUUGCAAGCCAUAAAAAUAGCAUUGGCAUGGCAAAAAUAUGAAGAUGUCCCUAAACCCACCUACCACCCUAUCGAUCCACGGCUUGCGCAUCCCGUCUCUCUGGCCGACGUAGUGCCCGCCCACCCGCUUAUUUCGUCGGUUGGCUUAGGCAUACGGAGUUCAUUCCCAAUCUAAGAUCGGAUUGGAUUGAGAGUUGCGACAGCAGGAUCGACAGCAUGCAGAGCGGGGACCCGAUUGAUCCUCAGCUUGCUUAUCUUACCCCUCUGGUCGACUGAGCACCCGCACACUCGUUUCAUGGGUUGACUUAGGCAUACAGAGCUCAUUCCCAAUCUAAGCAUAUGGAGUUCAUUCUCAGUCGGGGCACCAUCACCGGACCAUCGUCGGAGAACCUGACCGGUGACAUUGGGGGUACCAAUGAUUGGGGGACAGGGGGAUGUGUGCACAUGAUGUGCGAUGGGUGCUCGUACUUGGCCCUUAUAUUGGCCCCCUAUCCCUCAGCAAACCUUAAGAACUCACACCCCUUAAAGAGCAUUUGAGAUUUUACAGGUUUGCUGCCAGUAGCCAUUAAAGUGUAUGGAAUGGGAACACUUUUUUCAAAUGGUCACAAAAUGCUGUACACUUCGAGUUUUUAGCUGAAUUUUUUUGUGCAUGCCAAAAAAAAUAAAAGGAUCACAUCUAUCAAGUUUGGGGCCAAAACUCCAUCUGAAAAAAUUUUAAAACAAUCCUGAAUCGUAAAAAGUUUUAAAAAUUGUGAAAAAUAGAAAGCGAGUCGUCUUGCCAUGAAACUUCACAUGAAGGCUUAACGGACAAUUGUAUGGAUUUACAAGCCAUAAAAAUGGCAUUGGCAAGGUAGAAAUAUGAAGAUGUGCCUAAACCCUCCUACCACCCUAUCGAUCCAUGGCUUGUACGUCCCGUCUCUCUGGCCGGCGUAGUGCCCGCCCGUCCGCUCAUUUCAUCGGUUGGCUUAGGCAUACAGAGUUCAUUCCUAUUCUAUGAUCGGACCAGACCGAGGGUUACUGCUGCAAGAUUGGCAGCACGUAGAGGGGGACCCGGCCGAUCCUCGACUUGUGCAUCCUGCCCCUCUGGCUGACUCAGCGCCCGCACGCUCGUUUCAUGGGUUGAGUUAGGCAUAUAUAGUUCAUUCCCAGUCUAAGAAUACGGAGUUCAUUCCCAGUGUAAGAUUAAACUAGACCGGGGGUUGCGGGUGCACAUGUUGGGCUCGGGCAUGUGUUGGUGCCGUAUUUUUUUUCACUUGGGGAACCAUCGUCGGAGAACCUGACCGGCGACAUUGGGGUUCCGGUGAUUGGGGGGCGGGGGAGGUGUGUGCACAUGAUGUGCGAUGGGUGCGGGUACUUGGCCCUUAUAUUGGCCCCCUAUCCCUCAUCAAACCUCAAGAACUCACACCCCCUUAAAGAGCAUUUGAGAUUUUAUAGGUUUGCUGCCAGUAGCCAUUAAAGUGUCUGAAAUGGGGACACUUUUUUGAAAUGGUCCCAAAAUCCUGUACACUUUGAGUUUUUAGCUGAAUUUUUUUAUGCAUGCCAAUGAAAAUACAAGGAUCACGUCUACCAAGUUUGGGGCCAAAACUCCUUCUGAAAAAAUUUUCAAAAAAUCUCGAACCGUAAAAAGUUUCAAAAAUCGUGAAAAAUAGAAAAUGAGUCGUCUUGCCAUGAAACUUCACAUGAAGGCUUAAGGGACCAUUGUAUGAAUUUACAAGCCAUAAAAAUGGCCUUGGAAUGGAAGAAAUAUGAAGAUGUGGCUAAACCCACAAACCACCCAUCGAUCCACGACUUGCGCAUCCCGUCUCUCUGGCUGACGUAGCGCCUGCACGCCUGCUCAUUUCGUCAGUUGGUUUAGGCAUACGGAGUUCAUUCCCAGUCUAAGAUCGGAUAGGACCAUGAGUUAUGGGUGCACAUGCUGGGCUCGGGCAUGUGCUGGUGUCGUAUUUUUUUUUGCCUGAGACACCAUCGUCGGAGCAUCGCCGGAGAACCUGACCGGCGGCAUUGGGGUUCCGGUGAUUGGGGGGCAGGGGAGGUGUGUGCACAUGAUGUGCGAUGGGUGCGGGUACUUGGCCUUUAUAUUGGCCCCCUAUCCCUCAUCAAACCUCAAGAACUCACACCCCCUUAAAGAGCAUUUGAGAUUUUACAGGCUUGCUGCCAGUAGCCAUUAAAGUGUCUGAAAUGGGGACACUUUUUGGCAAGUGGAAAGCAAAGGGGGAUCGAGAGCCACUAGCAUGCUACCUAUGUGGAGGGAGCCACAUAGCACGUAAUUGCCCGUAGAAGGGCAAGCUGGCUACUGUAGACAAGGAGUCUAACGAGGAGCCAGAGUCAGAGGUAGCAAAGCUUGGGUCAUUGGUGCUCAAUGCUGUCAAGAGUAAGGGGAGCCACAAGCCAAAGGGCUGGAUGUUUACGGAUCUGAUGGUUGCGGAUCUGAUGGUUGUGGGUUAGAAGGUGAGUGCACUGGUGGACACAGGUGCCUCGCAUCUUUUUAUUUCAGGUGAUGGAGCCCGAAAGCUCAGACUAAAAGUGUAGAAAGGGACUGGUACCAUUAAAACGGUGAACUCUAAGGAAGUUUCAGCCAUUGGAGUAGCACGGGGAGUGGAGUUGCAGUUUGGAAACUGGAAAGGCAAGGAGACCAUUGAGGUAAUACCCUUUGACGACUAUGAGUUUGUGAUUGGGUUGGAUUUCUUUGUUCUGUUUAACACCCUUCUUGUGCUUUUUACCGGUUGUGUUUGCAUCUUGGAUGCAUGGUGCCAAUGCCUAGUGCCAUUGAGAAGAGGGUCUAGAGUUAGGUUGUGAGUGGUGUCAGCCAUCCAAUUUGCCAAGGCGGUAAGCAGAUAAGAAGACACCUUCUUGGUAGCCUUGAAAUAUGAUGAGCCAAGGGAAAAGGAGAUCGAGUCACCCUUGGAGGUGCUAAAGGUACUGAAGACCUUUAGUGAUGUGAUGCCCACAAAGCUGCCUAGCAAGCUACCACCUAAGAGAGAGGUGGACCACAAGAUCAAGCUGGUGUCCGAGGCCAAGCCACCAACUAGAGCCCCUUACCGAAUGUCUCCACCAGAGUUGGAGGAGUUAAGGAAGUAGCUCAAGGAGUUAGUUGAUGCUGGCUUCAUCAGGCCAUCGAAGGUACCCUAUGGUGCACCGAUUCUAUUCCAGUGCAAGCAUGAUGGGUCGUUGCAACUGUGCAUAGACUAUCGAGCCUUGAACAAGCUAACCAUCAAGAACAAGUACCCCAUCCCACUCAUUGCGGACUUAUUCGAUCAACUUGGGAGUGCAAGGUGGCUCACCAAGCUGGAUUUGAGGUCAGGCUACUAUCAAGUCAGGAUCAUGGAGGGAGAUGAGCCAAAGACAGCAUGUGUCACUCAGUAUGGUUCGUAUGAGUUCUUGGUGAUGCCUUUCAGACUCACGAAUGCCCUAGCAACAUUCUGCACCCUUAUGAAUAAGGUACUUCAGUCAUUCCUUGAUCGGUUUGUUGUGGUCUAUUUGUAUGACAUUGUGAUCUACAGCCAAACUUUGGAAGAGCAUGUAGACCACUUGAGAUAGGUGUUCGAGGUGUUGUGGGCACAUAAGCUAUUUGUCAAGAGGGAGAAGUGCUCAUUUGCCCAGCAGGAGAUCCCGUUCCUAGGCCACAUAGUGGGAAGUGGCAGGAUAUGCAUGGAUGAAGACAAGAUACAUGCCAUCCUAGAGUGGCAACCACCAGCCAAAGUCACUGAGUUGAGAUCGUUCCUUGGGCUGGUUAACUACUACAAACACUUCAUCAAAGGUCACUCAGCAAUAGCCAUGCCAUUGAUUGACUUGCUCAAGAAAGGGAGAACAUAGGAGUGGAGCGCAGGGUGCCAGGAAGCCUUUGACAGGUUAAAGCAGGCUGUGACCGAGGAGCCAGUCUUGGCCUUGCCAGACCAUGCCAAGCCGUAUGAGGUGCAUACAGAUGCAUCAAACUUUGCCAUAGGGGGCGUGUUGAUGCAGGAGGGACGUACAAGCCGUGGAUCGAUAGGGUGGUAGGUGGGUUUAGGCACAUCUUCAUAUUUCUACCAUGCGAGUGCCAUUUUUAUGGCUUUUAAAUUCAUACAAUGGUCCCUUAAGCCUUCACGUGAAGUUUCAUGGCAAGACGACUCAUUUUCUAUUUUUCACGAUUUUUGAAAGUUUUUACAGUUCGGGAUUUUUUUAAAAUUUUUUCAGAAGGAGUUUUAGCCCCAAACUUUGUAGAUGUGAUCCUUGUAUUUUUGGCAUGCACAAAAAAAUUCAGCUGCAAACUCGAAGUGAACAGGAUUUUGUGACCCUUUGAAAAAAGUGUCCCCAUUUCAGACACUUUAAUGGCUACUGGCAGCAAACCUAUAAAAUCUCAAAUGCUCUUUAAGGGGGUGUGAGUUCUCGAGAUUUGAUGAGGGAUAGGGGGCCAAUAUAAGGGCCAAGUACCAGCACCCAUCGCACAUCAUGUGCGUACAACCCCCAUCCCUCCAAUCGUCGGAACCCCAAUGCCGUCGGUCAGGUUCUCCAGCGAUGCUCCGACGAUGUUACCCCGAGCAAAAAAAAAAUACGGCACCAGCACAUGCUCGAGCCCAGCAUGUGCACCCGUAACCCUCAGUCUGGUCUGAUCUUACACUGGGAAUGAACUCCAUAUGCUUAGACUGGGAAUGAACUCCGUAUGCCUAAGUCAACCAACGAAACGAGCGUGCGGCCGCUCAGCCAGCCAUAGCCGCAGGAUGCGCAAGUAGGUGAUCGGUCGAGUCCCCCCUGCGUGCUACCAAUCCUGCUGCUGCAAACCUCGGUCUGGUCUGAUCUUAGACUGGGAAUGAACUUCGUAUGCCAAAGUCAACCGACGAAACGAGCGGGCGGGCGGGCACUACGCCGGCCAGAGAGGCGGGAUGCGCAAGUCAUGGAUCGAUAGGGGGGUAGGUGGGUUUAGGCACAUCUUCAUAUUUCUACCAUGCCAGUGCCAUUUUAAGGUUUUUAAAUUCAUACAAUGGUCCCUUAAGCCUUCAUAUGAAGUUUCACGGCAAGACGACUCGUUUUCUAUUUUUCACGAUUUUUGAAAGUUUUUACGGUUCGGGAUUUUUUUAAAAUUUUUUCAAAAGGAGUUUUGCCCCAAACUUGGUAAAUGUGAUCCUUGUAUUUUUGUUGGCAUGCACAAAAAAAUUCAGCUACAAACUCGAAGUGUACAGGAUUUUGUGACCAUUUGAAAAAAGUGUCCCCAUUUCAGACACUUCAAUGGCUACUGGCAGUAAACCUGUAAAAUCUCAAAUGCUCUUUAAGGGGGUGUGAGUUCUCGAGGUUUGAUGAGGGAUAGGGGGCCAACAUAAGGGCCAAGUACCAGCACCCAUCGCACAUCAUGUGCGCACACCCCUCCGCCCCCCAAUCGCCGGAACCCCAAUGCCGUCGGUUAAGUUCUCCGACGAUGCUCCGACGAUGGUGCACCGGGUGAAAAAAAAUACAACACCAGCACAUGCCCGAGCCCAACAUGUGCACCCGCAACCCUCGGUCCGAUCCGAUCUUACACUGGGAAUGAACUUCGUAUGCUUAGACUUGGAAUGAACUCCGUAUGCCUAAGUCAACCCAUGAAACGAGCGUGCGGGCGCUCAAUCGACCAGAGGGGCAGGAUGCACAAACUGGCCAGAGGGCCCCCCCAAUCAUCGGAACCCAGUGCCACCAAUCAGGUUCCCGACGAUGCUCCGACGAUGGUGCCUCAGGCAAAAAAAAAUGUGGCACCAGCACAUGCCCGAGCCCACCAUGUCCGCUCGCAACCCUCGGUCCGGUUCGAUCUUACACUGGGAAUGAACUCCGUAUGCCUAAGUCAACCCACAAAAUGAGCGUGCGGGCGCUUAGCCGGCCAGAGGGGCAGGAUGCACAAGCCAAGGAUCAAUCGAGUCCCCCCCUACGUGUUGCUGAUCCUAUUGCCACAACCUCGAUCCAGUCUGAUCUUAGACUAGAAAUGAAUUCCGUAUGCCUAAGGUAACCGACGAAACGAGCGGGCGGGCGGGCACUAUGUCGGCCAGAGAGGCGGGAUGCGUAAGCCAUGGAUCGAUAGGGUGGUAGGUGGGUUUAGGCACAUCUUCAUAUUUCUGCCAUGCCAAUGCCAUUUUUAUGGCUUGUAAAUUCAUACAAUGGUCCCUUAAGCCUUCAUGUGAAGUUUCAUGGCAAGACGACUCGUUUUCUAUUUUUCGUGAUUUUUGAAACUUUUUACGAUUCGGGAUUUGUUUAAAGUUUCUUCAGAAGAAGUUUUGGCCCCUAACUUGGUAGACGUGAUCCUUGUAUUUUUGUUGGCACGCAAAAAACAAUUCAGCUAAAAACUCGAAGUGUACAGGAUUUUGUGACCAUUUGAAAAAAGUGCCCCCAUUUCAGACACUUUAAUGGCUACUGGCAGCAAACCUGUAAAAUCUCAAAUGCUCUUUAAAGGGGUGUGAGUUCUCAAGGUUUGAUGAGGGAUAGGGGGCCAAUAUAAGGGCCAAGUACCAGCACCCAUCGUACAUCAUGUGCGCACACCCCCCGUCCCCCCAAUUGCCGGAACCCCAAUGCUACCGGUCAAGUUCUCUGAUGAUGCUCUGGCGAUGGUGCCCCGGGUGAAAAAAAAUGUGGCACUAGCACAUGCCCGAGCCCAGCAUGUGCACCCGCAACCCUCGGUCCGGUCUGAUGUUACACUGGGAAUGAAGUCCGUAUGCUUAGACUGGGAAUGAACUCCGCAUGCCUAAGUCAACCCACGAAACGAACGUACGGGCGCUCAGCCGGCCAGAGGGACAGGAUGCACAAGCUGGGGAUCGGUCAGGUCCCCCUGCAUGCUAUCGAUCCUGCUACCGUAACCCUCCGUCCAGUCUGAUCUUAGACUGGGAAUGAACUCCGUAUGCCUAAGCCAACCGACGAAACAAGCGGGUGGGCGGGCACUACGCUAGCCAGAGAGGUGACAUGCGCAAGCCGUGGAUCGAUAGGGUGGUAGGUGGGUUUAGGCACAUCUUUGUAUUUCUACCAUGCCAAUACCAUUUUUAUGGCCUGUAAAUUCAUACAAUGGUCCCUUAAGCCAUCAUGUGAAGUUUCAUGGCAAGACGACUCGUUUUCUAUUUUUCAUGAUUUUUGAAACUUUUUAAGGUUCGGGAUUUUUUUAAAAUUUUUUUACAAGGAGUUUUGGCCCCAAACUUGGUAUACACGAUCCUUGUAUUUUUUUUUGGCAUGCGCAAAAAAAUUCAGCUAAAAACUCGAAGUGUACAGGAUUUUGGGACCAUUUGAAAAAAGUGUCCCCAUUUCGAACACUUUAAUGGCUACUAGCAGCAAACCUGUAAAAUCUCAAAUGCUCUUUAAGGGGGUGUGAGUUCUCGAGGUUUGAUGAGGGAUAAGGGGCCAAUAUAAGGGCCAAGUACCUGCACCCAUCGCACAUCAUGUGUGCACACCCCCCCGGCCCCCAAUUGCUGGAACCCCAAUGCCGUCGGUCAGGUUCUCUGGUGAUGCUCCGAUGAUGGUGGCCCGGGUGAAAAACAAUAUGAAACCAGCACAUGCUCGAGCCUAGCAUGUGCACCCACAACCCUCGGUCUGAUCCGAUCUUACACUGGGAAUCAACUUCGUAUUCUUAGACUGGGAAUGAACUCCAUAUGCCUAAGUCAACCCAUGAAACUAGCGCGCGGGCGGUCAGCCGGCCAGAGGGGCAGGAUGCGCAAGCCGGGGAUCAGCCAGGUUGCCCCCUGCAUGCUGUUGAUCUUACUACCACAACCCUCAGUCCUGUCUGAUCUUAGACUGGGAAUAAACUCCAUAUGCCUAAGCCAACCGAUGAAACGAGCGGAUGGGCGGGCACUAUGCCGGCCAGAGAUUCGAGAUGCGUAAGCCAUGGAUCAAUAGGGUGGUAGGUGGGUUUAGGCACAUCUUCAUAUUUCUGCCAUGCCAAUGCCAUUUUUAUGGCUUGUAAAUUCAUACGAUGGUGCCUUAAGCCUUCAUGUGAAGUUUCAUGGCAAAGCGGCUCCUUUUCUAUUUUUCAUGAUUUUUGAAACUUUUUACGGUUUUGGAUUUUUUUAAAAUUUUCUCAGAAGGAUUUUUGGCCCCACACUUGGUAGACAUGAUCCUUGUAUUUUUUUUGUCAUGCACAAAAAAAUUCAGCUAAAAACUCGAAGUGUACAGGAUUUUGUGACCAUUUGAAAAAAGGGUCCCCAUUUUGGACACUUUCAUGGCUAUUGGCAGCAAACCUGUAAAAUCUCAAAUGCUUUUUAAGGGGGUGUGGGUUCUCGAGGUUUGAUGAGGGAUAGGGGGCCAAUAUAAGGGCCAAGUACCAGCACCCAUCGCACAACAUGCGCGCACAGCCCCCCCAACCCCCCAAUCACCGAAACCCCAAUGCCGCCGGUCAAGUUUUGCUGCGAUGCUUCGACGAUGGUGCCCCGGGCGAAAAAAAAAUGCGGCACCAGCACAUGCCUGUGCCCAGCAUGUGCACCCACAACCCUCGGUCUGGUCUGAUCUUAUACUGGGAAUAAACUCCAUAUGCUUAGACUGGGAAUGAACUUCGUAUGCCUAAGUCAACCCAUGAAACGAGCGUGCGGGCGCUCAGCCGACCAGAGGGGCAAGGUGCAUAAGUCGGGGAUCGGUCGGGUCCCCCCUGCAUGCUACCGAUCCUACUACCAUAACCCUUGGUCUAGUCUGAUCUUAGAUUGGGAAUGAACUCCGUAUGCCUAAGCCAACUGAUGAAACGAGUGGGCGGGCAGACACUACACUGGCCAGAGAGGCGGGAUGCGUAAUCCAUGAAUCGAUAGGGUCGUAGGUGGGUUUAGGCACAUCUUCAUAUUUUUGCCAUGCCAAUGCCAUUUUUAUGGCUUGUAAAUUCAUACAAUGGUCCCUUAAGCCUUCAUGUGAAGUUUCAUGGCAAGACGACUCGUUUUCUAUUUUUCAUGAUUUUUGAAAUAUUUUAUGGUUUAGGAUUUUUUUAAAAUUUUUUCAGAAGGAGUUUUGGCCCCAAACUUGGUAGACGUGAUGCUUGUAUUUUUUUUGGCAUGCACAAAAGAAUUCAGCUAAAAACUCAAAGUGUUGUCCCCAUUUCAGACACUUUAAUGGCUACUGGCAGUAAACCUGUAAAAUCUCAAAUGCUCUUUAAGGGGGUGUGAGUUCUUAAGGUUUGAUGAGGGAUAGGGGGUCAAUAUAAGGGCCAAGUACAAGUACCCAUCACACAUCAUGUGCGCAUACCCCCCGCCCCCCUAAUCGUCGAAACCCCAAUGCCGUCGAUCAGGUUCUCCGACGAUGGUGCCCCAGGCGAAAAAAAAUACGACACCAGCACAUGCCGUAGCCUAGCAUGUGAACCCGUAACCCUUGGUCCGGUCUGAUCUUACAUGAAAUUUUUUAAAAUUUUUUCAGAAGGAGUUUUGACCCCAAACUUGGUAGACGUGAUCCUUGUAUUUUUGUUGGCGUGCAUAAAAAAAUUCAGCUAAAAACUCGAAGUGUACAGGAUUUUGUGACCAUUUGAAAAAAGUGUCCCCAUUUCAGACACUUUAAUGACUACUGGUAGCAAACCUGUAAAAUCUCAAAUGCUCUUUAAGGGGGUGUGAGUUCUAGAGGUUUGAUGAGGGAUAGGGGGCCAAUAUAAGGGCCAAACACCAGCACCCAUCGCACAUCAUGUGCGCACACCACCCCCCCGCCCCCCCAAUCGCCAGAACCCCAAUGCCACCGGUCAGGUUAUCCAGUGAUGCUUCGGUGAUGGUGCCUCGGGCGAAAAAAAAAUGUGGCACCAGCACAUGCCCAAGCCUAGCGUGUGCACCCGCAACCCUCGGUCCAGUCUGAUCUUCCACUGGGAAUGAACUCUGUAUGCUUAGACUGGGAAUGAACUCCGAAUGCUUAGACUGGGAAUGAACUUCGUAUGCCUAAGUCAACCCACAAAACGAGUGUGCGGGCGUUCAGCCGGCCAGAAGGGCAGGAUGUGCAAGCUGGGUGUCACGGACUAAGCUUUUUGUCAACAAGCAAUAGAUCGUACGACACUUCAAUGGGCACUCCCAACCAAGUCAACCUUUAAUAGAUCGAUAUCUGAACAAAUAACCAUAAGCCCUGGUUAGUCCCAAGCAUUCACAAUAAGACACAAUAUAUCGAGAUCAGUCUCAAGCACACACACAAAAGGCAUAUUCGCAUCGAGAGAAAGAAAAACACAUCGAGGCAACAAUCGAGACAUUCAAUCGGGGUAAGUUUUAUUAUAAACAGGAAUCAUACAUCGGGACCUCCCACCAUCACCAGGGCCAGGGGGCAACCCUUGGUGGGUGGCCUAAGCUCGCAUAGCAACCGAUGAGACAGCCCAACACUACACUAUCGGCUCACCCUCCUUAAAGAGCCUUAGAGAUUUUAGAGCUAUGCUACCAGUAACCAUUACAAUGUUUGAAAUGGGGACACUUUUCCUAGCACAAGGGAUCUACCUGGCCAUGGCCCUAUACAUGGGUGGCUCAUGGUAACCUAAGUCCUAGUGAUGGCCCUAUACAAGGUUGGCUCAUGACAUCCUCCCCCCACCUAUUCUAUCAACGUUUUCGUCGACUUGCUGGCUUGAAAUUCUUUGAUCUUCCUUUGAAAUCUCUGGAGGUCGUGUUCUCUCUCCCAGCUGGUUUCUUCUAGUCCUAAUCCCUCCCACUUCACUAAGUACUCCCAUACUAGUCUUCAAGAUAUCUUGGUUUCCCUAUCAGCUAAGAUCUCUUCGACUCGACGCUCUGAGGGUGGCUUCAUGGUGACGGUGGCUCUGGUUGGCUCCCUUCAGCUAGCAUCUGUAGGAUUUGCAUGGAAAGGUUUCAGGUUGCUCACAUGAAAUACUGGGUGCACCUUCAUCCAUUUUGGUGGGUCGAUUUUGUAAGAAGCAUUCCUCACCUUAGAAAUGACCCUUUCUAGACCUUCAUAUUUGUGCACCAGUCUAUGAUCUCUCUUUCUCAAGAACUUGGUUUGUUUAAGAACUAGUCGAACAAGAACCAAAUCACCAACUUGAAAAUGUUGAGCUCUUUGACCCUUGUCUACCCAUUUCUUCAUCCUUUUUGAUGCUUUCUCCAGGUAGGCUUACGCAAUCUCUGUGUUUUGCUUCCACUCUUUACUGAGAUUAAAGGCUCUUGAAUUUUUUCCUCCAUAUUGUUCCAAGGAAGUGUGGGGUAACCUUGGUAAUUGUCCGAUGACCACCUCAAAUGGGCUCUUAUUGGUGGAAGAGCUUUUGUUGGAAUUAAAGCAAAGUUGAGCCACGUCCAAUAAUGAAGGCCAGUCUUUUUGAUUGGCUUGAACAAAAUGCCUCAAGUAUUCCUCUAAUAAUCCGUUGAACCAUUUCGUUUGACCAUCGGUUUGAGGGUGAUAGCUUGAGGAGAUGUUGAGUUGGGACCCCAAUAUCUUGAAAAGUGCUCUCCAGAAGGACCCCGUGAAUCUCAGAUCUUGAUCGCUGAUAAUGUUUUGAGGGAGGCCCUAGUAUUUGACCACAUGUUUGAACAAUAGUCGAGCUGUGUCUUCCACAGUGCAAUACUUGUGAGUGGGAAUGAAUGUGGCAUACUUAGAGAACCGGUCAAUCACCACCAAAAUAGCUCCAAGGUCACCAACCUUGGGUAGGCUCAAAAUGAAAUCGAGGGAGAUGCUUUCCCACGGUCUGGUGGGUACUAGUAGUGGUUCAAGCAUGCCUGUAGAUUUCUUCCUUUCAACCUUGUCUUGUUGGCAAAUAAGGCAAGUCUUCGUAUAGUCCAUCACAUCUUGUCGCAUGUGAGGCCAAUAGUAUCCCUGUUUCAAUAACGCCAAAGUGCAUUGCCAGCCCGGGUGUCCCGCCCAUGGUGUGUCAUGACAUUCCCUCAUUAGCAUUUGUCUCAGACCUUCUACUCUUGGCACAAACACUCGAGGCCCUUUAGUCCAUUAGACCCCAUUUUCUUGCCAGAAGUACUUGGACUUCCCUUCUUCCACUAGCUUCAGGAUGGCACAAGCUUGCGGGUCCUUCCCUAAGUGAUCUCCAAUCAACUUGUGAAUGUCUGUAGUGGCUCUGCUAGUCGCCAUUGGGGCAAUUCUUCUAAGGGUCGCUAAAUCUGCUCGUCUGCUCAAUGCAUCGGCCACUUGAUUGGUCUUUCCAGCGAUGUGCUCAAAACAAAAGUUAAAUUUUGCUAAAAAUUCCUGCCACCUAGCUUGUUUUGCCGUAAGCCUUGGUUGGGUGAGAAAAUGGCUAACAGCCGUAUUAUCUGUCUUCAUGACAAAGUGUGAACCCAACAAGUAAUGUCACCAAGCCCUCAAAUAGUGAACCACCACCAGGAGUUCUUUUCCUGGGCCGUAUAUUUCUUUUCAGCUUCACUUAGCUUCCUACUUUCAAAUGCUACCGGGUGAUGUUGUUGCAAAAGUACUCCUCCAAUAGCAAAAUCAAAUGCAUCCAUUUGAACUUCGAAGGGCUUUUCAAUAUUAGGGAGAGCUAAGAUGGGAUCCUUCAUAAUAGCAUCCUUCAAUCCCUCAAAGGUCUCUUGGCAUUCACUCAUUCAACACCAUUUACGCUCCUUCUUCAAUAGCUUCGUGAGGGCCGUGGUCUUGCGAGAGUACCCUUCCAUAAACCUUCUAUAAUAAUUGGCUAGUCCCAAAAAUGAGCGGAGUUCACUAACAUUCUUCGGUGUUGUCCACUCCUUGAUGGCCCUAACCUUUUUCAUGUCCAUUCGAAUGUGGCCACGUUCGAUAAUGUGACCAAGAAAAUGGAUUUGGGUCUGAGCAAAUAUACACUUCUCCCUUUUUAUGUAUAACUGGUGGUCCUAUAAUCUUUGAAGUACCUGGUGCAGGUGCUCUUGAUGUUCUUCCAAAGUGGAGCUAAAUACUGCUAUAUCGUCUAAAUAGAUGACUACAAAUUUGUCUAGGUAGUCAUGGAACAUCUGAUUCAUUAAUGUACAAAAUGUGGCAGGAGCAUUGGUCAGUCCAAAGGGCAUAACAAGAAAUUCAAAUGCACCAUACCGUGUCACACAAGUGGUCUUUGGCUCAUCUCCCUCAGUGAUUCUGACCUGAUGGUAGCUAGAUCUCAGGUCUAAUUUGGAGAAGUACUUGGCCCGACUCAAUUGAUCAAACAAGUCUACUAUAAGGGGAAUGGGAUAUUUGUUUCUUACGGUGACUUUGUUCAGGGCCCUGUAGUCAACAUAUAAUUGCAAACUUCCAUCAUGCUUCUUUUGAAAUAGCACUGGUGCUCCAAAAAGAGCCUUUAAUGGUCUGAUGAACCCGGCUUGUAGCAGCUCAUCUAACUACUUUCUUAGUUUGACCAACUCUACCGGGGCCAUGCGGUAGGGAGCUCUAGCAGGGGGUUUUGCUCCUGGGAGGAGCUCAAUUUCAUGGUCCACUGCUCAUCGAGGGGGUAAAACCUUAGGCAACAUCUCUGGCAUCACCUCUUCGAAUUCUUCCAACACUUUUUCCACACCAUCAGGUAUUGGUUCUACUUUUGACCCUUCUUUGUAGAUCAGCACCGCCACAAAGGAAGGUUCCCCUUUCUUUACCCCUUUCUUGAACUGUAAAACAGAAAUCAUUUUCUUCCCACUCUUUGGUAAGAUGUUGGCUGGCACCACACAUGGGUGUUCCCCUAAGAACAACAAGCAGCUAGCGACGGGAAUAGGGAUGACCUGAGCCAACAUCAUGAAGUCCAAUAUGAGAAAACAUCAAAGUCAUCCAUGGGGGAAACUGUAAAGUCUACCUUCCCUUCCCAUGGCCCCAAUCGGGUUGUCACACUCUUGGAGCUUCCACUGAUCACAAAGGCUGGUGAAUUGACUACCUUCAUUCAUCCACAGUCUUUACUAAUCUGAAGACCACACCUUUUUGCUUCUUCUGGUGUGAUGAAAGUGUCGGUUGUACCCGUAUCCACCAUGGCCUUGAUGGCUUUCUCAUUGAUCGUCAAGUUCACAUACAUCAAGCCUCUACUCUACUCUUUCUUUAUAGUGUUCAAAUGGGUGCGGAGGGCAUUGAGGAACCUUAUUGAACCCAUCCUAGCUGGCUCUUCUUCAUUUUCUUCAAUGCUCUCUGGCACUUUUACAGACUCUUGAGACGAGGUCCUUAAGGCAUUAAGGGCUCCCCUGUGCAGGCAUUAAGGGCUCCCCUGUGGAAGCAUUCAGCCACCCGAUGCGACCCCUUGUAAAGAAAGCAAGCAACGGUUGCCUAGGCUUAAAAAUCCCUGCAUUGCUUGUCUUGGGUUGGGUGCUAUCUCGACCAAAGGACCUCCUGUUUGAUCCCCCACUGAAGGGCCGGUCCAACCUAGUCAUUUUUCCCCCACUCCCAAAGUUAAAGCUACUACCAACUGAUGGAGGAUUUUUCUGUUUUGAGGAGCCAUCAUUGUAAUCAUGAAGAUGUUCAGCUGUAACCAUGGCUAUGGCCACGUCUUGCACUUUUUGCCUUUGUAGUUCUGUCCUCGCCCAAGGCUUGAGGCCCUCAAGAAAAUAGAACAUCUUAUCCUUUUCGGACAUGUCCCGAAUAUCCAAUAUCAAGGUAGAAAAGCUCCUUACAAACUCUCGCACCAUUCCUAUUUGCACCAACUCUCGAAGUCUCCUUCGAGCCAUAUACUCCACAUUCUCAGGGAAAAAUUGGUUUUUCAAUUCUCGCUUCAGAUCCAUCCAAGUCUUAAUUGGGCACUUGUCAUCGACAAACUUGGAGCACCACCACAGCUUGGCAUCCCCUGUGAGGUACAUCGAUGCCAUUGCCACCUUUUCUUCCUCUAAAUUUAUGUGUACAGCUCAAAAGUACUGCUCCAUGUCAAACAAGAAAUUUUCAAGUUCCUUAGCAUCCCUUGCCCCUUCAUAGUAUCGAGGCUCCAGCACUUUAGGCCUUUUUCCCCUUUCCAUUAAGCUCGAACCCGAUCUGGCCACAGCCAUUUGUAGAAUGGUCACCUGUGCUCUGACCUCCUCAAACUCCUUUUGAAGAAUGUUCAAGGUGUCUCUAGCCUCUUCGCUCACGUUGUGGAGAGUAUUAGACAACUCUCGCUGGGUUGUCUUGAUCUCCCUCACUCGGUCUUUAGUCGCCAUAUGAAUUUUCAUUGUGGCCACCACGGCCUCAAGUUCUUCAAUUAUCUGUUGAUGAUUCGGUCCACCAUUUGUGGCCAUCUCAUCCAUUUUUCUAGCACUUUUCAACCGUGCUCUGAUACCACGUGUCAUGGACUAAGCUUUCUCUCAACAAGUAAUAGAUCGUGCGGCACUUGAAUGGGUGCUCCCAACCAAGUCAGCCUUUAAUAGAUCGAUAUCUGAACAAAUAACCAUAAGCCCUAGUUAGUCCCAAGCAUUCACAAUAAGACACAAUAUAUCGAGAUCAAUCUCAAGCACACACACAAGAAGGCAUAUUCGCAUCGAGAAAAAGAAAAACACAUCGAGGCAACAAUCGAGACAUUCAAUCGAGGUGAGUUUUAUUAUAAACGGGAAUCAUACAUCGGGACCUCCCACCAUCACCAGGGCCAGGGGGCAGCCCUUGGUGGGUGGCCUAAGCUCGCAUAGCAAUCGGUGAGGUAGCCCAACACUACGCUGCUAGCUCACCACCCCUAAAGAGCCUUAGAGAUUUUAGAGCUAUGCUACCAGUAACCAUUACAAUGUUUCAAAUGGGUAAAUUUUCCUAGCACAACGGAUCUACCCGGCCAUGGCCCUAUACAUGGGUGGCUCAUGGCAACCAAAGUCCUGGUCAUGGCUCUAUACAAGGUUGGCUCAUUACACCGGGGAUCGACCGGGUCCCCCCCUGCGUGCUACCGAUCCUGCUGUCACAACCCUCAGUCCAGUCCAAUCUUAGACUGGGAAUGAACUCCGUAUACCUAAGCCAACCGAUGAAACGAGCGGGCGGGCAGGCACUACGCCGGCCAGAGAGGCGGGAUGCGUAAGCUAUGGAUCGUUGGGGUGGUAGGUGGGUUUAGGCACAUCUUCAUACUUCUGCCAUGCCAAUGCUGUUUUUAUGGCUUCUAAAUUCAUACAAUGCUCCCUUAAGCCUUCAUGUGAAGUUUAAUGGCAAGACAACUCGUUUUCUAUUUUUCACGAUUUUCAAAACUUUUUACGGUUUCAGAUUUUUUUAAAAUUUUUUUAGAUGGAUUUUUGGCCCCAAACUUGGUAGAUGUGAUCCUUGUAUUUUUGUUGGCAUGCAAAAAAAAAUUCAGCUAAAAACUCGAAGUGUACAGGAUUAUGUGACCAUUUGAAAAAAGUGUCCCCAUUUUAGACACUUUAAUGGCUACUGGCAGCAAACCUGUAAAAUAUCAAAUGCUCUUUAAGGGGGUGUGAGUUCUUGAGGUUUGAUGAGGAAUAGGGGGCCAAUAUAAGGGCCAAGUACCAGCACCCAUCGCACAUCAUGUGCGCACACCCCCCCCGCCCCCCUAAUGGUCGAAACCCCAAUACCACCAGUCAGGUUCUCCGAUGAUGCUCCGACGAUGGUGCCUCGGGAGAAAAAAAAUGCGGCACCAGCACAUGCUCGAGCCUAGCAUGUGCACUCGCAACCCUCGAUCUGGUCCGAUCUUAUACUGGGAAUGAACUCCGUAUGCUUAGACUGGGAAUGAACUCUGUAUGCCUAAGUCAACCCACGAAACGAGUGUGCGGGCGCUCAGCCAGCCAAAGGGGCAGGAUGCACAACCCGAGGAUUGGCCGGGUCCCCCCUACAUGCUACCAAUCCUGCUACUACAACCCUUGGUCCAGUCCGAUCUUAGACUGGGAAUGAACUCCAUAUGCCUAAGCCAAUCGAUGAAACGAACGGGCGGUCGGGCACUACGUCGGCCAGAUCUCCUCCCCCAUGGAGUCUAGCGAUGCAAUGUGAGUCUCUACUUCCUUAAGCUUCUCCCUCAUGUCGCCUACGACCACCUCCACCUUGGCCACCCUACCAUCCAUGGUAGACCAGAUAUCUCUAGAACUGGCUUUCUUGCCUCUUCCCCGGCCAUGCUCCUGGGCCUCUGGUUGUUGGCUAGCAACGUCGCUUUAGGAAGCCAUCUGCUCAAUCAUGAUCUAACCUGCACAACACAAACACACAGAAUCGAACUUGCUCUGAUACCAACUGUCAUGGGCUCCGACCUUAGACUUAGAAUCCGUGCGGCCUUAGGCUUGGAAUCUCCUCUUUUGUGCCUAAGUCAGCCUAAAACACAAGCAUGCGGGCACUAGAACAAUGGGAAGGGCUGAUUACGCAAGUUAAAGAGAAACAAGAUAAGAAGACAAAAUUCUGGAAAUGCUCUUGUAUUCACUGAAACAGAAGUGUUUGAUGGUGUACAAAUGAGGGUGGAGAAGCCCUCUAUUUAUAGUUGAGGCUCUAGCUACAACUUAAUGGCAUAUCCCUAGAAUAAAGGCUAAAAUCAUGGGAUUACAAUCAAUCAGGAUGCUAACUCCUGAUUUUCAGGGUCAACCAAAUCUGCCAGGAUGCUCCUGUCUGUUUCCAGAAGCUUCCCUUGCAUGUCCAGCACCUUGGGCCCUUCUGGAUGUGGUGUGGGCAGCUUGUAUGCCAGGCCUUGGUCUCACGGGCUGGCUUGCAAGUCGAACGGGCGUUCUAAGCUCAUUUGCUAGGCUUGCACAUGAAAAAUACAAAACGAGUCGUCUUGCCAUGAAAAUUCACAUGAAGGCUUAAAGGACCAUUGUACGAAUUUACAAGCCAUAGAAAUGGCAUUGGCAUGGUAGAAAUAUGAAGAUGUGCCUAAACCCACCUACCACCCUAUCGAUCCACGGCUUGCGCAUCCCGCCUCUAUGGUCGGCGUAGUGCUCGCCCGCCCGCUCGUUUCAUUAGUUGGCUUAUGCAUAUGGAGUUCAUUCCCAGUCUAAGAUUGGAUCGGACCAAGGGUUGCAGCAGUUAGAUCAGCAGCACGUAGGGGGGGACCCAGUCGAUCCCUGGCUUGUGCAUCCAGCCCCUUGGUCGACUGAGCGCCCGCACGCUCGUUUCAUGGGUUGACUUAGGCAUACAGAGUUCAUUCCCAGUCUAGGCAUAUGGAGUUCAUUCCCAAUGAAAGAUUGAUCGAAUCGAGGGUUACGGGUGCAUAUGUUGGGCUCGGGCAUGUGCUAGUGCCACAUUUUUUUCGCCCGGGGCACCAUCGCCGGAGCAUCGUCGGAGAACCUGACCGACGGCAUUGGAGUUUUGGCGAUUGGAGGGGCGGGGGGGGGGGGGGUUGUGCGCACAUGAUGUACGAUGGGUGCUGGUACUUGGCCCUUAUAUUGGCCCCCUAUCCAUCAUCAAACCUCGAGAACUCAUACCCCCUUAAAGAGCAUUUGAGAUUUUACAGGUUUGCUGCCAGUAGCCAUUAAAAUGUUUGAAAUGGGGACACUUUUUUCAAAUGGUCACAAAAUCUUGUACACUUCGAGUUUUUAGCUGAAUUUUUUUGUUCAUGCCAACAAAAAUACAAGGAUCACUUCUACCAAGUUUGUGGCCAAAACUUCUUCUGAAAAAAUUUUAAAAAAAUCCCAAACCGUAAAAAGUUUCAAAAAUCGUGAAAAAUAGAAAACUGGUCGUCUUGCCUUGAAACUACACAUGAAGGCUUAAGGCACCAUUGUAUGAAUUUACCAGCAAUAAAAAUGGCAUUGGCAUGGCAAAAAUAUGAUGAUGUGCCUAAACCCACCUACCACCCUAUCGAUCCACGACUUGUGCAUCUCGUCUCUCUGGCUGGCGUAGUGCCCGCCUGCUCGUUUCGUCGGUUGGCUUAGGCAUAUCAUUCCCAGUGUAAGAUCAGACCAGACCGAGGGUUGUGGCAGUAGGAUUGCCAGCAUGCAGGGGGGGACCCGGCUGAUCCCCAGCUUGCGCAUGCUGCCCUCUGGCCGGCUGAGCACCCGUACGUUCGUUUUGUGGGUUGACUUAGGCAUACGGAGUUCAUUCCUAGUCUAAGCAUAUGGAGUUCAUUCCCAGUGUAAGAUCGGACCAGACCGAGGGUUGCGGGUGCACAUACUGGGCUCGAGCAUGUGCUGGUGCCCCAUUUUUUUUCUCCUACGGUGCCAUCGCCGAAGCAUCACCGGAGAACCUGACCGACAGCAUUGGGGUUUGACGAUAGGGGGCGGGGGGUGCGCGCACAUGGUGUGCGAUGGGUGCUGGUACUUGGCCCUUAUAUUGGCCCCCUAUCCCUCAUCAAACCUCGAGAACUCACACCCCCUUGAAGAGCAUUUGAGAUUUUACAGGUUUGCUGCAAGUAGCCAUUAAAGUGUGUGAAAUGGGGACUCUUUUUUCAAAUGGUCGUAAAAUCCUGUACACUUUGAGUUUUUAGCUGAAAUUUUUUGUGCAUGCCAACAAAAAUACAAGGAUCACGUCUACCAAGUUGGGGGCCAAAACUCCUUCUGAAAAAAUUUUAAAAAAAUCUUGAAUCGUAAAGAGUUUCAAAAAUUGUGAAAAAUACAAAACGAGUCGUCUUGCCAUGAAAAUUCACAUGAAGGCUUAAGGGACCAUUGUAUGAAUUUACAAGCCAUAGAAAUGGCAUUGGCAUGGUAGAAAUAUGAAAAUGUGCCUAAACCCACCUACCACCCUAUCGAUCCACAGCUUACGCAUCCCGCCUCUAUGGCCAGCGUAGUGCUCGCCCGCCCGCUCGUUUCGUCAGUUGGCUUAUGCAUAUGGAGUUCAUUCCCAGUCUAAGAUUGGAUCGGACCAAGGGUUGCAGCAGUUGGAUCAGCAGCACGUAGGGGGGGACCCGAUCGAUCUCCGACUUGUGCAUCCAGCCCCUCGGUUGGCUUUGGCAUACAAAGUUCAUUCCCAGACUAAGAUCGGACCGGACCGAGGGUUACGGUAGCAGGAUCAACAGCACGCAGGGGGGACUCGAUCGAUCCCCGGCUUGUGCAUCCUGCCCCUUUGGCCGGCUGAGCGUCCACACGCUCGUUUCGUGGGUUGACUUAGGCAUACGGAGUUCAUUCCCAGUCUAAGCAUACGGAGUUCAUUCCCAGUGUAAGAUCGGACCGGACCGAGGGUUGCGGGUGCUCAUGCUGGGCUCGAGCAUGUGCUGGUGCCACAUUUUUUUUUGCCCGGGGCACCAUCGCCGGAGCAUGUCGGAGAACCUGGCUGGCGGCAUUGGGGUUCCGAUGAUUGGGGCGGCCAGGGGGGUGUGCGCACAUGAUGUGCGAUGGGUGCUGGUACUUGGCCCUUAUAUUGGCCCCCUAUCCCUCAUCAAAUCUAGAUAACUCACACCCCCUUAAAGAGCAUUUAAGAUUUUACAGGUCUGCUGCCAGUAGCCAUGAGAGUGUCUGAAAUAGGGACACUUUUUUCAAAUGGUCACAAAAUCCUGUACACUUCGAGUUUUUAGCUGAAUUGUUUUGUGCAUGCCAACAAAAAUACAAGGAUGAUGUCUAAAAUACAAGGAUGACAUCUACCAAGUUUGGGGCCAAAACUCCUUCUGAAAUAAUUAAAAAAAAAUCCCGAACCGUAAGAAGUUUCAAAAAUCAUGAGAAAUAGAAAACGUGUCGUCUUGCCAUGAAACUUUACAUGAAGGCAUAAGAGACCAUUGUAUGAAAUUUACAAAGCCAUAAAGAAAUGGCAUUGGCAUGGUAUGAAAAUAUGAUAGAUGUGCCUAACCCCCCUACUACCGCCUGUCGAUCCACAGGCUUGUUCAUCCGCCUCUUUGGCCGACAUAGUGCCCGCCCGUGGCCGCUUGUUUCGUUCGGUUGGCUUAGGCAUACAGAGUUCAUUCCCAGUCUAAGAUCGGACUAGACUGAGGGUUGCUACAAUAGGAUUUGUUACAACAGGAUUGGGCUGACGAUUGUGGGUGCACAUGCUGGGCUCGGGCAUAUGCUGGUGCCGCAUUUUUUUUCACCUGGGGCUCCAUCAUCGGAGAACCUGACCGACGACACUAGGGUUCUGACGAUUGGUGGGGCGGGGGGCUGUUUGCACAUGAAGUGUGAUGGGUGCUGGUACUUGGCCCUUAUAUUGGCCCCCUAUCCCUCAUCAAACCUCGAGAACUCACACCCCCUUAAAGAGCAUUUGAGAUUUUACAGGUUUGCUGCCAGUAGCCAUUAAAGUGUCUAAAAUGGGGACACUUUUUUCAAAUGGUCACAAAAUCCUGUACACUUCGAGUUUUUAGCUGAAUUGUUUUGUGCAAGCCAAAAAAAAUAAAAGGAUUAUGCCUACCAAGUUUGGGGCGAAAACUCCUUCUGAAAAAAUUUUAAAAAAAUCUCGAACCGUAAAAAGUUUUAAAAAUCGUGAAAAAUAAAAAACGAGUCGUCUUGCCAUGGAACUUUACAUGAAGGCUUAAGGGACCAUUGUAUGAAUUUACAAGCCAUAAAAAUGGCAUUGGCAUGGCAAAAAUAUGAAGAUGUGCCUAAACCCACCAACCACCCUAUCGAUCCACGGCUUGCGCAUCCACGUCUUUGGCCGACGUAGUGCCCGCCCGCCCGUUCGUUUCAUCGAUUAGCUUAGGCAUACGGAGUUCAUUCCCAGUCUAAGAUUGGACUAGAUCGAGGGUUGCGAUAGUAGGAUUGGCAGCAGCAGGGGGGACCCGGUCGAUCCCCGGCUUGUGCAUCCUACCCCUAUGGCCAUCUGAGCGCCCGUAUGCUCGUUUCAUGGGUUAACUUCAGCAUACGGAGUUCAUUCCCAGUCUACGCAUACGAAGUUCAUUCCCAGUGUAAGAUCAGACUGGACCGAGGGUUACGGGUGGACAUGUUGGGCUCGGGCAUGAGGUGGUGCCACAUUUUUUUCACCCAGGGCACCAUCACUGGAACAUCACCGGAGAACCUGACCGGCGGCAUUGGGGUUCUGGCGAUUGGGGCGGCGGGGGGCUGUGCGCACAUUAUGCGCAAUGGGUGCUGGUACUUGGCCCUUAUAUUGGCCCCCUAUCCCUCAUCAAACCUUGAGAACUCACACCCCCUUAAAGAGCAUUUGAGAUUUUAAAGGUUUGUUGCCAGUAGCCAUUCGAGUUUUUAGCUGAAUUGUUUUGUGCAUGUGAAAAAAAAUACAAGGAUCACGUCUACCAAUUUUGGGGCCAAAACUCCUUUGAAAAAAGUUAUUAACAAAAACUCUGAACCGAUUCAAAAAGUUUUGAAAAUCGUGAAAAAUAGAAAACGAGUUGGUAUUGCCAAUGAAACUUCACGUGAAGGCUUACAGGGACCAUUGUAUGAAUUCUAUAAAGUCCAUAAAAAAUGGGCCAUUGGCAUGGCAAGAAAUAUGAAGAUGUGCCUAAAACCCACCUACCACUCUAUUGACCACGGCUUCGUAAUCCGGCCUCUCUGGCCGACAGUAGUGUCCGCCUGCUCGGUCUCGUUUCAUCAGUUGGCUUAGGCAUACGGAGUUCAUUCCCAGUCUAAGAUCGGAUCGGACCGAGGGUUGCGGCAGCAAGAUCGACAGCACGCAAGGGGGGACCUGACCGAUCCCCGACUUGGGCAUCCUGUCGCUCUGGUCGACUGAGCUCUCGCACACUCGUUUCGUGGGUUGACUUAGGCAUACGGAGUUCAUUCCCAGUCUAGGCAUACAGAGUUGAUUCCCAGUGUAAGAUCGGACUGGACCGAGGGUUGCAGGUGCACAUGCUAGGCUCGGGCAUGUGCUGGUGCUGUAUUUUUUUUCGUUUGAGGCACCAUCACCGGAGCAUCGUCGAAAAACCUGACCGGCGGCUUUGGGGGUUCCGACGAUUGAAGGGGGCGGGGGGUGUGCGCACAUGAUGUGUGUUGACAUCAAUUUUGUCCGUAAAAAUAAAAAUAAUAAUAUUAUACGAAAUACAAAAAAAAUAAAUACCAAAAAAUAAUACAAAAAAAUAGCAAAAAAAAAAAUAAUAAUAAUAGAGGAUGGCAUUGGUGCCAUCCUCGGCACCACUGCCACUAGGCCCACCACCCAUCACAUACCCUGUUUAUCCUACCCUACUACCAAACAAUACAGAAGAAAUAAAGAGGCGGGCUCAUGUUUACAUCCCGUGAUCGAGCCCCAUGCCCUUCCCUCCAAAUACGUAUGGUUGGAGCUCUAUAAAUAGAGCUCAUAGCGAAGCCAAAACGGACAGAGAAGAAGGAGGGGGAGAUUUUAUCAAAAAAAAAACUACAAAAAAAAACAGAAACCACAGUCCUCCCCGCAAUGAGGAACCCAACGCCAAAGCUACCUGUAAAAGUAAGAAAACAGAUCAGUCUUGCUUUAACAAAACAAAAAAAAAAUUGAAAACAGAAACUUUGAGCCCCAAUCUACGCUGAUCAGGGCUAUUUUCGACAAAAAGAGGUCAGAUCUUGAAAGAGCACGUUGAAGAGCGCUUCUGGAAGUAUUUCGGCAUUUUUCAGUCACCAGUGACCACCGCCGAUGGUGACCUAGGCGGCAGCCAGAACGGUGGCCCGACGACCGAACGGUGGACGGCUAGACCUCUCCCCCGGCUCUCCUUCUCCCUCUCUCCCUUUUUUUUCUGAAACAGAAACCAAAUGAACCAAAAAAAAUCUUCGGCUAUAUAUAGUAAAGCGAAAACUCAAAACGACGUCGUUUAGGGAAAGACCCAAAACGACGCCGUUUUAACCAAAGAGGAUCCAUGCGUGGAUUCGGAUCUGACUCGAGAUCCGUGCAAACUGACCCAUCAACCCGUUUCAUCCAACCUUGAACCGGUCUGAGUCGGUCCGAACCACUGUACCAUUCGAACCACCUAUCGAAUAGUAGAAUCGGUCAGACCGGUCCAGACCAGCGCUGAUCGAACCGAUGAUCGGUCUGGUUCAGGUAAAAAAAUUUUUUUUUAAUUUUCUAAUUUUUUUAUAUUAUUAUUUUUGUUAUUUUAAGUAUAUUUUUAUAUUUAUGCAUGAUAAAUUUCUAAAUUUGUUAGAAUAAAUGUUUAAUUGUUUUAAUAAUAAUAAAAUUGAAAACAAAUAAUAGUUAAAAAUAUAUUAAAAAUGUUCAAAAAAAUAUUUAUUAUUAUUAUUAUUAUUUUCCCUCCCUAGAUGUUGGAGGGAAUAAAAAAUAUUUUUCUAAAAGAUAAUUCCGUCUAGAUGUUGGGGAAUUAUUAUGAAAAAUUUUCAUAAAAAAACACAUAAGAAAUUUUUAAUUAGUUUUGAAAAAUUAUAAAAAAUUAAACUUGCUCCGAAAGUCCGCCUAGAUGAUGGGGAUUUUUAGAGAUGUUCGUGUUUUACUUAAAUCUUAAACACUAAUUUUUAAUUUUCAAAAUCCUAAGUUUUUAAAACCCCUAAAAAUCCAAAAUCCCCUAAAAUUCAAAACCUCUUAAAAUCCAAAGUCCUAAAAAUCCUAAAGACAAGUGUGAAAAUUCUAUUUGAAGCAAUUUGUUCCCGAAUGCCGCUUAGAUGAUGGGGUAUUUAGAAAAUUUUACUUCGUUAAGUCUUUUCACACGAUUUCUUAAUUUGCAUCAACAAUAAGAUUAAUAAAUAAAAAGUAUAAUAGUAAAUUGGGAGCUUAAAUAUAAACAGUCGCACCUAAGCUCUGCCUAGAUGUUGGAGAGUUAGGGUGGUCUUAUUAUACUUAAGAAUCCAACUUUUAAAUUACAUUUCAUUUUACAUAACAUUCAUUGACAUACACAUAUUAGCAUGUUAUUAUUAGUAUUUAUUUGUACUAUUCUGUCUUUAAUUUUAUUUGUACUACUUUUUAAAAAAUUAUGAUAUUAUAAAAUAAAAUAAAAUAACAUUCCGAAAGAAAUAAUUCUUGGUACUCUGCCUAGACGUUGGAGAGUCACUAACAAUUAUUUUCUAUAAAGAUUGUUAUUUUAUUUUAUGGAUUAUUGUGUUAAAUCUUAAGUAAAAAGAGUUAUUUUAAAUUCUGCCUAGAUGUUGGAGAAUUUUAAGAUAAUUCUUUAACUUAAAGAUUUUCUCAAUAUUUCUAAAUAAAUAUUUUAGCAAAAUUUUAUUCAAGUGAAGGGAAUUAGUGUUAAAUUUCAAAUUAAAAUCAUUUUUAUCCAACACCGAAAAUAGCGCGUAAUUAAAUGGUACCAAUUUAUGGGUGUUGUGGGGGUGCUAAUCCUUCCCAUACGUAACCGACUGCCGGACCCAACCUGGUUUUUCAUAGACUGAAAUUAUCUUUUUGAUAAACUUUAAAUCCGUUUUAUAGUUUUAUUAAAAAGAUAAACUUUUGGGUGGCCAAUCACACCCUAACAAAGAUUGGUGGCGACUCCACUUUUUAUUUAUUUUUCUCUAUUUUAAAACAUCACUUUUACGUCUGGCGGUCCCAAAACCGUUACGACAGCUUGGCGACUCCACUGGGGAUUUUUAGAGUCAGGCCAAAUUUUAGUUAUACGCUAUUAAUAACUGUUGGAUUUAAUUAGUUUUAUUUGAUAUUUAAUUUAAUUCUCUUUAUUUUAAUUUUUCAAAAUAUACAUACAAGUUAAUAAAUAAAAUAAAUUGCUUGUUAUCUAUUACUUUAUUUUGAUUUUGUGUUUAUGAUUUAUUUAUGUUAUUUUGAUUAAUACAUUACUUUGCACACACUUUGCAUAUUUAUUCGCAUGCAUGAGCUCUAAACCCGGGCUUUUUCCCUUUUAGGAGGAAGUGAAGUAGCUACGCUCUCGUGAGGUGAUAACCUCCACAUUUGCUAGUGAAACACUUCCACUCAGACUGAACCCUUUCCGUUAGUAACCUGUAAUGGGUGAGGAUCGGGGAACCUUACUAGUCUAUCCAGACAACGAUGUGAGGAAUAGUUUGGGAACCGUUAGACGCAUAAACCUUAACCCAGCAUAUCGUAACCCAUAUGAAUCUUGCCGAUCUUUUUAUAGAAAUAACCAAAAGAAAAGCAUUUUCUUAAAAAAUAUAUAUAUAUAUAAAUUUCCUCUUUACAUGUAGUUCAUUCAUUUGGUAAUUGUUCAAAUUUUGCAAUUUCAUAAAAUAUUUUAGAAUAAAGUGAUUUUUUUUAAAGCAUUAUCCAACAAGCCAAAAAAACAAAAAAAAAGUGGUUUUCAAAAAAAUUAAAGAUUUUUCUUAAAUUCUUUGUUUAUUGGCCCAAUAAAAAUAUCAAUUUUCAUGUCCUAGUUAUUUUGUUUUUCCCUCUAAAUAAGUCAGCUGGCUUCAAACAACCUCCACAAACUAUCCCAAGUCCAAACCCAUACCUAAAUCCUCUUUAUGACCAUUUUCAACCUCCUUUCCAAGUACCUAAGAUUAGACCCCCAAUUUUCAUGCAACCACCAAGAAUUUCACACUUGAACCCAUAUCCACCAUCUCAUAUUUCACAAUCGCCUGUUCAGUAUGCUAUACCAUCAUUACUUUUUGAACCCAAUCUUCGACCCAAAGUUUCUCAAUUCACCUCAAGACCAACUAAACUAUCAUCUUUUCAGCAAAGCAAACCAACUGUAGGAUAGAAAAACUUCGGUAAGACCAAAGAAAAAAUCUUUGUUGAUCUGAUACCCAUGUCCUACGCAGAGUUGUACCCAUUACUUCUAGAAAAUUAUCUCAUUGCCCCUAUCCCUGCUGAACCUCGCAAACCACCUUUCCCCGAAUGCUAUGACCCCAAUGCUUGAUGUGAAUACCAUUUUGGCAUCAUUGGCCAUUCUUUGGAAAAUUGCACAGCUUUGAAACAUAGGGUGCAAGGACUAAUGAAAGCUGGAUAUCUAAGUUUUGAUACCAAGAUGAAGCUAGUUAUUCACAACAACCCUUCUUUGAUCCAUGUCAAAAUGGUAGGCAGUGCUACCGACAACAGUAGGGUUGGUCAGGAUGAUGAAUAAAAAGCUUUUUAAGCAAAGAGUUAUCUUUCCUAGUAAUCAUAGUCAACUAUUUUUUAGGAGAAACAAAGGGAAGUGGGAGUAGGUUUUGGCACUUUUUGGCCCCCAGCCCUAGAAUAGUUUCAUGAUGUGUAAACUUGAUGCUUUUAGAAAUGAAUGGAAACUUCUUUUAACCUAGAUUUUCUAUGAAUUGAUGCAUCUGUUUAUUUUAUUGUCACGCCUAAAAAGAGUAUAAGAAAGAAUGAUGGUUGCAAGUAUGUUUUCACCAAACUUUUGAGAUAGAAAAGAUAUAUCUAGAUGACCCAUUUUGAAUAUAGGAUGGAAUUCAAGUUUCCCUCGACCAAACAACAAAUUUAACUUGCAUAUCAUGCAUCAUUUUGUUUGAAUUCAUUGCUUUUCAUGCCAGCUAAGGACAAGGAAUGAUAAUUGUAAAUAUACUUUCGUCAAACCUUCGAAGCAAUUUUUUUUUAUAUACAAUAGAAUUCAUGCCAUGCAUUUCUGACUUCUGAUGAUUAAUAAAAGAUUCAAGGAUAGCUAUCUUAGGAAACGAGGUCAGUUGAGUCUGCACACUUAUAGCACUCGAGCUAGUACCAUAAUCAUGGAAAAUAAAGGUGCCAGUCGAAUGGAUAGAGUAGAAAAAACCCAAGGAGAGAUCGGUGAAAUAGUUACAGGAAUGCAACAAAACAUGAAUAGACAACUGACAGAAUUAAAACAGAUGAUAGUGGAAUUGACAAAAGGAAAAGAAGUUGUUGAGACGUACAGGACAAGGGAGGAAACAGCUAUCGAGACACCAUUGUAUCUAUCUGGGUUCACAUAUGUUCAAGAUCCCCAUGUGUCACAAACAUUCAGACAAAUAUCAAUCCUGGGCAUACUCCUCACGACUUCACUACUGUGCCUAAUGUGGAUGAUCAUAAAAAAUUGAAGAAAUUGAAGAGGGUGCCAGAUCCAUCAGAAGAUAUAGUGAUGAAAGAUAAGUAUGAUUUGUUGGAAGAGAGAUUGAAAGCAAUUGAAAGUCAUGAUGUCUACGAGAAUGUUGACGCCAAUGAGCUUAGUCUAGUGCCUAAUCUCAUUAUUCCAUCAAAAUUCAAAGCCCCGAAUUUUGAAAAGUAUAAUGAAACUGGAUGUCCUAAAAUACAUUUGGCUCAAUACUGUCACAAAAUGGUUGGGUAUGCUGGUGAUGAAAAGCUACUUAUUCAUGUCUUUCAAGAAAGUUUGACUGGGACAGCAGCUAAUUGGUAUCAUAGUUUGAAAAGCAGUCAAAUUCAUACUUGGAGAGAUUUAUCACGGGCAUUCUUGAAGCAAUACCAAUAUAUGUUGGAGUUAGCUCUGGAUCGAUUAACCCUCCAAAAUAUGAGAAAGAACCCCAAUGAGAGCUACAAAGAAUAUGCUGUUAGAUGGAAGAAUAUGGCAUCACAGGUACAAUCACCUCUUACCAAUAGGAAGUUGAAUUCCCUGUUUGUGGAUACCUUUCCUUCUCCCUAUUAUGAUAAGUUGAUCAGCAAUACUUCAUAAGAGUUUGCAAAUUUAUUGUUCGCUGUGGGUAGAAUUGAGGAUGGGAUAAGAAGGGGAAGAAUUAUAAAUACUGGUGAUGAAAAAAGAGAAGAUAUUUUUGCAAAACAAGCCCAAGAAAUAAUUGUUAAAGGGCAAAAUGAGAGAAAUCUCACCAUGAUGCAAGAAGAUCCAACGGAUGAUUAUUCACAAUGGCUACCAUAUUGCCCCCAACCAAUAUUUGCAAUCGAUGAUUUUCCUCGACCACUUCAUCUGUAUGCUCAAAUUCCUUCACCAUGAACAGAACCAAGGAUCAACUUAAGCCAUUCACAGAGUCGUAAGAGAAAGAGAGCCAAAGUGUAUCAUUCACUUUCAAUACCUUACGCUAAGCUCUUUACUUUACUGAUAGAGAAUCAUAUGAUCUCUGUUGUUCUUGCAAGACCCAGAAAGCCUCCGUACCCGAAGUGGUAUGAUCCUAAUGCUAAAUAUGAAUUUCAUGAUGUAGUUAAAGAACAUUCCAUAGAAGAUUGUACUGCCUUCAAGGAUAAAGUUCAAGCUUUGAUCGAUGCAAAUGCUGCAAAGUUUAAAGAGCUAGUUGGUGGUUUUGAUGAUUGAUAGUAGUAAAGUUGCAAGUUAGUGAUGCUAAAGUUAAAACAUCAAGGGGAAAACUUUUGUUUAUGUAACUUUAAAUAUCACCUCAAGAGUAUGAUCUAGAUAAUAAAUUCUUUUUGGUCAAGUCUUAAGGUUUGCAUUGCAUGAGCAAACAUUGUACAUCAUAGUGUUUUAUUUCAUGUAAGUUUCGAUAUAUAGUUCGUUUUUUUAAAAAAAAAAAAAGAGGGAAGAUAUUAGAUGUGAAUAAAGCCUCAUGUGGUUAACUAUCAAGGCUAGAGAAAUUUUCUUGAGAAAAAAAAACAAAAAAAAGAGAAAAAAGAAAAAAUGAAGUUUUAAGUCUAAGAUGAAUUGGCGAUCACUAUUAGAAAAUUUUUCAAAUACCUAACUGCCAAUUUGCUCAUUCAGUUGACCCCAUUUCAUUAGUCAUGACCCCUUGAUAGCCUUAAAUUCAAAUUUGUGAACCUUUUUUUCACCUGAUACUAUUGGCAAUAUUCUUUUCUAAGGCAAUGAACAAAUGAAACAGCCAUUAACAAAUGUGUGGUUCCUAGAAAAUCAAGUCUAUAUGACUUUUUUUUUAGAAUUCAAAUGCGAUAAUUGAAUAUGAUAAGAUUAUGCUGCAGUUCCAAAAUUUUCAAAUCCAAAAUACACUUAAACAUACUACCAUUUCAGUUUUUUUAUCCCAAAAUUAACCCGAUCCUUUGUCUUGAGGUAUAUUUGUCAGAAAAGAAAUAUCUCAUUACCUCUAAGGCAACUUGAGUUAUGAUUAACCUUUUUGUUCUCUUUUUGUGGAGUAACUUAGAUCAUUUGAUACCUUAAACAUGUUUACCCACAUAAUCUUUUUCUUAUCCAUUUCAUAUUACCCUUCUUUCAUUAUGGGUGGUUUGCUAAAAUGGGACAUCUUUCAUGAAACGUGUUACUGGCAAAAUGAAUCUAGGUGUGAACUAUGGGGGCAUAAAAAAAAUAAAAACAACAAAAAAAAGAGAAAAAAAAAGGAAAAUUUGGUUAUGACAUCAUGCACUAAAAAUUUGAGCAAAUCCAAAAAAGGUUAUGACAAAGUCAAGGUUUUGAAAAAAAAAAAAAAAAAAAAUUUUUUUUGAGAUUAAAAAAGAAAAAAACCUUUUUCCAAGUUCAUUUUCCUGAAGAGUAGUCUUCAAUUUAAGUGUUUAUGCUUGAAGUGACAAAUGGCCAUCUUUCAUUAUCUCUUCACAAAAAUAAAAAUUUAUCUCUUGUUACCCCUUUGAGCUUGAUUGAAUUCUUUCAAAAUAAACCCUGACUAAGGAUCACUUUUCAUAUUUGUGAAAAAAAAAACAAAAAAAAAGAAAUACGUUUGAAGGAUAAGAAUGAGAAUGUCUAAUGGAAUCUCAUGUGAUAGGGGCACAAACCCAGUAUAAAAGUUCAUAAAAGUUUUGAAUCCACUCAGUGAAAGGGUGUAAAAAAAAAAGGAAAGGAAGAAUAAAAAAAAAAGGGAAAGAAAUGAAUUGGUGGAAAGCACAAAAUAGAAUAUACCUUAGAGUGUAUCCUUCCAAUGAAAAAUGAUCCUUAGUUUCAAAUACCCUUAAAUAGUUGUUUUGGGCCUUUUUAUCCUUUUCUUUGGCGACCAUGAACCUUAACCUACAUUACAACCUUUGAAAAGUCCAUAUUGGAUCAGGCAUGAAAGCUUAAACUUGAAGAGUUUCUCUUAAAAAUGAACAUUAAUUUUUUGAGUUUUCCUUUUUGAAAAAAAUUUUUUCCUCUUUUGGAUUAGAUUUGAAUUCUCAAGUGCAUGGUGUGUAAAAAAAAAAAAGAGAAAAAUAGAAAUAAAUGUGGCUCUAGGGUGAAAACCCUCAAAAGGGCAGUCUAGAGCCAACCCUGAAAGGUCACUCCUGAUGCUAAGUAUGGUGGAUGCUAAACAAAAGUAAAGCCAAACCUUUUGAAAGAUCUAAAAUAUCAAAGCCAUAGAAGUCUGAGAUGGGUUGAUUAUUCCCAAAUAACCCUUUAAAAUCUUAAGCCCUUACAGCUGAUCUUAACAUAUAUCAAAAUGUCGCAUUUGGAGACUAAGAAAAAUGUUGAAUAUGUUUGAUUUUCAAGGAAUUCAUG
rnacentral:lncRNA from 1 species